rnacentral:sRNA from 1 species
AUCGUAUUUGAGAAACAGUUCAGUUAGAUUAUAAAUACAGUUUAGUCAAUCCAAAUUGAUUUUCAGUUUUAGCUCAUAGAAACUAUUCAAUUCAAUUCUUAUACAAUUUAAUGUAAAUAGAAGUAUAUAAUUACCGUAACAAAACACACUUACUUGAUGCUGCAGGUUUCUCUUUAUAUCCACCAAAUUAGGCAUCCAACGCAUACAAUACAUCCGAACAAACAUAAAAUUUAGUCAGUGGCACAAAAGAUAUAUGUAAAAACAAAUUUGUUAUCAAAGUAAAUUUACUAGCAUGACGUGAAGUAGCCAGGCAAGUUCCUCAUCGACGCAAUUAACCUGACCCUCACAAGAAAGAUAAUAUCUGGCUAACAAACUUGUAAACA